rnacentral:lncRNA from 10 species
GCGGGCGAGCGGGCAGCAGGCUGGAGGGGCCGCGGCGGCGCCGGGGGUGCCAGCCGCCUCCUCUGGCCGCCGGCCCGUCGGCCCUGCAAAGUUUAAAGCCAAUUCCCUUUGCGUCCUGGGAGCCGAGCGUUUUCUCUCUCUGCUGACACUCCCAGCAGCCCUGCCUGGCCAGGCCAGGCUGGAGAGCACCCGGACCAUUUUCCAGACGGUGAGAUGGAGGCCUGGAAACCGAGCUUAUGAGCAGCCCGGAGCUUUCCAUUGCCUGCUCAGCCUUCCAGAUACAUCCCAGUUCCAGUUCUCUCCAGGCCCCUCUGGGAUCCAGCCAGCCUGCUUCCCCGCCAGGGCCCCGCUGCUUCCAAAAUGGGCCUGUGCAGCGUCAUUCAGGAAGCCCGUGGUACUCACAUCACUUUGGCCAGAUGCUAACAAGAAAAUGAUCCACUGUGACGCAGCUGACCCCAUCCAGUGCAUCCACAUUACCUGGAAAGAAGCAAUUAUGCCCCUUUGGUUUCCUUGGAAAUGCUCGGUCUGUCUGUACCAUCCUCCCUGGCUCUUGAGAAAUACCCAUGCACAGUGGAGCUUUGACAGGGAAGCAGUGCGUUUACUUUCAAACUGAAAGUUUACAGAAUACAAAGUGAGCCUAUAAGAUGGAUGGCCAUUCUCCAGAGGCUUGUUGGCCAGACAGGAAGGAAAACCAGUGCACCAUCAGGAAUGUGGAGGAGACUGAAAGAGAGGGACAAACAUAUUGGAUUGCAUCGGGCCCCCACAGUCAAGUUCCUGCAAACCCAGCUGGGAUAUUUUCCUGACUAAGGGUUAUGGUCUUGGGCCUCAAAGCUCCCCAGUCAAAGCCCAGCCUCUGUGCCAGGGAGGACACAAGAGGACAGAGACAGCGUCUGUGUCAGGAGGAGGGAAGAAGGACUAAUGUCUGCGGACCCUCCGAGGCUCACAGGGAGAAGCCACACACUCACAGCACCAGGUCUGUGGUUUUUCAUGACCCCACACUGUCCCCUAGAAGGAAGUACCACCCAGCAGAAACAGAAGCCAAGGAAUUUCCCCAUAGAGAUCAUGGCAUGGGCUUGAGCUCAAUGGACAGUGGGCGGAAAUUGGAAAGCCCAGAGCCUCCACCACUAAGUCCUGUGUGACUUCUGUAAGUCCCUUGCCCACUCUGAUUCUUAAUUCACCCAUAUGAAAAAUUAGGAAAAAUGAUCUCUCAGUUCUGAAAUUCAAUAAUUCUAUGAUGUCAGCAACUGGACCCAAGAGAUGAUGAGUUCUACUAUGGUUGUCUUGAUGAAAGUAAAAGCUGACUUUUUUUAAGCAGCUGCUUAGAGUUUACCACUUGAUAGUUCAUGUAAUCCUUACAACCACUCUAGAAGGUUAGUAUUAUUAUAACCCAAACUCCUACCUUAUCCUAUAGGACCCAUCUGAUCUGGUCUCUCCUCCCUAUUUGGCCUUAUCUCGUACCUCCUUUUAUAAAGCCCCAGCUGCAAGGAUUCUAAUCUUAGAUCUUUCCAGGACUUUUCUCUUGCUGCGCCCCUGCCUGGAAGGCCUUUCCUUCUGAUAUAUAAGCAGCUGGCUCUUUCUCCUCUUUCUGUGGCUGGCUAGACUGGCAUCUCAUCAGAGAGAACAACCUUGGCUUUAAAUCUUUCUUAGCCUAUAUCACUAUCUACAAUGAUCUCUCUUAUUUAUGUGUUUGCAGGUAUAUUAUCUCUGUUCUCCCACUUGACUUUAAGCUCAAUGAAUGCCAGGACCCUUAAAACAAAGCACAUAGCAAGUUUUCAGUGAAGUCUUGUUAAUUUUCAAAUGGAGGAAUAAAUGAACGACUAUAUUUCCACUUCGCAGAUGAGUAAACAGAGGCUCGGAGGGGUGAUGAAAUUUGCCAACAGUCACCGAUCAGUAAGUAUGACAGAAGUAGGACUGGAACCCAGGGCUGUCUGACCUCUGGCUUGAGUCUAUAACCACUUGGCCAUACUGCCUUUCAGUUCCAGGAACAGGUGAUGCUUCCUGGCAGUGAGAUUCUAAACCAGCGGGAGUUCCCAGCCAGAGACAUGAUCUAAGUGCCAAUGGCUGAAUGUCUGUGAGCAUUUGAAGUCAUUGUAAGAACAGGCAACGUUAGCGGCACCAUUAAAGCCUGCUGUUCCUCCAGCCCAUCACUGCCAUCCCCACCUAUUAAAAUAAUGGUAUGAAAAAUAAACAGCCUUUAUGGACAAUUUUAUACAGUGCACGCAUUGUUUGUUUCUCUUACUGUUUCCAUGGCAGUGACGUUUGUUCUCAGGAUAACUUCAGGUUGCUGCAUGAUGGAAGGGAAUGGAAUAAAAUUACUUGAGAGGAAAUUGCCAAGCACAGACUUUUUCUUCUUCAGAUGCCCCACACCCCAGCACUUAACAGCAGCCACACCCUGAAGUCUUAAGCACAGGAUAAAGGCUUCCCCUUAACCUACAGCCUUCCAUGGCUCCCCAGUUCCCAUAAUAUGAACCCCAUGGAUCUAAGCCUGGCUGUAAGACCUUUGCUACCUGGCUUCCUCUCCUACCCUUUCUCUCUUUGCUAUAUAGCCCUGCCUAUAGGCAAUUUCCCUCCUCAUUUUGUCCCUUCUCCCUAGAAUUUUUUCACCAACCCACGUUUGUUCAUGCUGUUCAGGGUACCUGGGCUAUCCACCUUCCCCCAACCUCUCUACCAGAGAAAACUGCUAUUCAUUUUUC